AGAACCUAGCAGCUCAACACAAGAUGGAGUCGCAGAGGAGGACACAAAAUUAGCAACAGGAACUGAAAAGCUUUAGUGAGAGUGACAGAGGAAGAAGCCAGCCAGAGCUGCGACCCUGAGAUAUAAGUCUCUCAGUCAGGGGCUAUGACACCAACAGAGUAAAUUCACAGACUCCGCCCCCAGCACGGCUCCAAUCCAAGCUGAAGUGAAGCCGUUUCAGAACAUUUUGCUCUACAUAUUUGAGUUGUUUGCCAUGCUUGUGAUCUACAGAGUCACCAUGAGGACCAAAGCCAUCCUUCUUAUGUCAGUGUUUAUACUGAUACUCUUGAUUCCCGUAUCUUUUGCUACCGGCACUCAAAACUAUACUCUAGAGAACAAUACGACAUCUACUCAAACUUUAGGCUAUUCACACUCUCCCUCUGGAGCUACAAACAGCACAACAACAUCCUCCCCAACAUCCAAUUCAGUUACAACCGUUGUUCCAUCAGGUACAACAAAUACAGCUCUACCUAGCACAACUUCCUCAUCCCCCACAACCGGAAAGGCAGUGAAGAUUUGGCUUAUUGUCAUUCUGUUGGUCAUCAUGGUUUUGAUGGUGCUUGUGGCAUAUCUCCAUCACGUGUGCCAGCAGUCCGGCCAUAGCGGCUCUGUGCCCAGGUUCCUAUUAGAUGUGAGGGAGAGGCUGAGAACCUGGAUCAGGAACCUGGAGGACCACCAGGGUGUUCAGCUUUGGCCAGGGGACAAGAGACCAGCAGAGGAUGCCAUGGAGGAGGAUGCCAUGGAGGACACAGAAGGAGGACAGGCAGAUGAGGGAGAGGUGUGGAGGGGUGGAGAAGGAGCUAAUAAUGAACUAAGCAACGAGGAAAAAGGAGAACACAAGGAGGAAGACAGCGACACUUCGGAUGACUGCUCAAGUUUGGAGGGGGAUGAUCUGAGGGAGAGGGCACUAAACAGACAGAAUGAAGAGGAGGGGAACCAGAGCAAGGACAAGGAUGAGGAUGAAACGAGUACCUCAAGUGAUGAAGGUCAAAGUCAUUCAGAAGGAAUGAGUGGUGGAAAUAAAGAUGAAGAUUCUGAAGAGACUGCACUUGUAAUCUCCCCUCAGCAGGAUUUAUGUGAUGUGACUGUUUUAUAGUGAAACGAUGCAUGAGUGAAGGAGAAGAUUCUGACUGUUUUUAAUGUUACAGAGUUUAGAUAGUUACUUUAUCGACACCAAAUCAAUAAAUAAAUCAAUACAUUUGCCUUUUUCAUAGUUGUCUCUGUGCUCUACCACUGAAACUCCGAUGUAAAAAAAAACAAAACACUGUCAGUGUGUGAUGAUCUUCAAAUAAACCUUUAAAAAAAUCCUCCUCUGUCUGGAAUUAACAUGAAAUUCAGAUGGCACAAAGACAGCUUUUUUACUGAUGAGUACAUAAGUGAGGGGACUACACCUUACAAAGUUAUAUUCAAAAUACCUCUCUUCAAAAGCACUCCAGUAUAAUGAGCAGACACCGUCCAUGGGCUUUUUCUCCAAAGGCCCAUGGACAGGUGAUAAGAAGCAUCAACACCAACUAAUUUAAAGACCUAUUUGCCAGAUAUCAAAUAUUAAAAUAGAUUUCUAUUUCUCAUCAGCCCUACUGUUGCAGAUUUAUGUGAAAAUGUCUAUUUAUUGCCUUUUCUCACUUCCAGAUCUCUUAUAGGAAAAAGCUCCAGAUUCUGAGGUCGUCUUGAGUUUUUUGGUUACCUGGUUG
ensembl:lncRNA